GCCAGACUCCUACGGGAGGCAGCAGUCGGGAAUAUUGCACAAUGGAGGAAACUCUGAUGCAGUGACGCCGCGUGCAGGAAGAAGGUUUUCGGAUUGUAAACUGCUUUAGACAGGGAAGAAACAAGACAGUACCUGUAGAAUAAGCUCCGGCUAACUACGUGCCAGCAGCCGCGGUAAUACGUAGGGAGCAAGCGUUAUCCGGAUUUAUUGGGUGUAAAGGGUGCGUAGACGGGAAUUUAAGUUAGUUGUGAAAUCCCGCGGCGUAACUGAGGAACUGCAACUAAAACUGAAUUUCUUGAGGGCGGGAGAGGAAAGUGGAAUUCCUAGUGUAGCGGUGAAAUGCGUAGAUAUUAGGAGGAAAACCAGUGGCGAAGGCGACUUUCUGGACCGUAACUGACGUUGAGGCACGAAAGUGUGGGGAGCAAACAGGAUUAGAUACCCUGGUAUGC
rnacentral:rRNA from 1 species